ensembl:lncRNA
GUGCUUUUGCCAGACGGCAGCCUCAGUCAUUUGAUGGGGAGACCAUAAUUGACCUCCUGGGGUUGAAGAGGCGCUGCUGCGCCUUCUUCACCAUGCUGUCUGUGUGGGUGGACCAUUUCAGUUUGUCCGGGAUGUGUACGCCAAAGAACUUAACUUCCCACCUUCUCCACUACUGUCCCGUCGAUGUGGAUAGGGGGGUGCUCCCUCUGCUGUUUCAUGAAGUCCACGAUCAUCUCCUUUGUUUUGUUGACAUUGAGUGUGAGGUCAUUUUCCUGACACCACACUCCGAGG